rnacentral:rRNA from 1 species
GAUGAACGCUGGCGGCGUGCUUAACACAUGCAAGUCGAACGGAAAGGCUCCUGCUUGCAGGGGUACUCGAGUGGCGAACGGGUGAGUAACACGUGGGUGAUCUGCCCUGCACUUCGGGAUAAGCCUGGGAAACUGGGUCUAAUACCGGAUAGGACGAUGGUUUGGAUGCCAUUGUGGAAAGUUUUUUCGGUGUGGGAUGAGCUCGCGGCCUAUCAGCUUAUUGGUGGGGUAAUGGCCUACCAAGGCGUCGACGGGUAGCCGGCCUGAGAGGGUGUACGGCCACAUUGGGACUGAGAUACGGCCCAGACUCCUACGGGAGGCAGCAGUGGGGAAUAUUGCACAAUGGGCGCAAGCCUGAUGCAGCGACGCCGCGUGGGGGAUGACGGCCUUCGGGUUGUAAACUCCUUUCGCUAGGGACGAAGCGCAAGUGACGGUACCUGGAGAAGAAGCACCGGCUAACUACGUG